rnacentral:rRNA from 1 species
UACGUAGGCAGCAAGCGUUUAUUCGGAAUUACUGGGCGUAAAGCGAGUGUAGGUGGUGCUAUAAGUUUGGUGUGAAAUCUCCCGGCUCAACUGGGAGGGUGCGCCGAAGACUGUAGUGCUAGAGUGUGGGAGAGGUAGGCGGAAUUCCUGGUGUAGCGGUGAAAUGCGUAGAUAUCAGGAGGAACACCUGCGGUGUAGACGGCUUACUGGACCACGACUGACACUGAAACUCGAAAGUGUGGGGAGCAAACAGG